ensembl:lncRNA
ACCAGGCCGGAUCAGUGGUCAUUAUUUUUGGUCUUCCUCCUCAAUUUCUGAACCCUAACAGUUGCUUGCUUCAGGUUUGGAUAAGAAUGAUCUGGAAAGUCAGAAAGAAGUGGAGAUAAGAAUGGAAAGAUUUAAGACCACUUUGAAGAAAGGAAAUCUGACUCCAAAAGAUUUAGCAAAGGCAGAACAAGCUAUUAUUCAAUAUGCACAACAACAGAAAUUUAAAACUGAAAUAGUUUAAUCAGCAAUGGCCUCAAAGGAGUCUCCAAGGGAAGUUGUCUCUGCAAACUUGAUCCAGUAUUGGAUGUGGGAAUCCUCAGAGUGGGUGGCCGAUUGAAUAAAGCAGCCAUGUGUAUGGAAGUAAAGCAUCCUGCAAUUUUGACAAAGGAUAUGCAUGUGUCAACACUGAUUUUACGCCAUAUCCAUCAAAGGUUGGGACAUGCAGGAAGAGCGCACAUGCUGUCAAAACUGAGGCAAAAAUACUGGAUAGUAAAUGCAAAUUCUGCUGCCAGGAAAAUCAUCUCUUGUUGUAUCACGUGUAGACGCAACAGAGGAAAGUUUGUUGAACAAAAGAUGGCGGAUCUGCCUGGAGAGAGAGUCCUGCCAGACACAGCUCCAUUCACAAAUGUUGGAGUGGACUAUUUUGGACCUAUAAGUGUUAAAAGAGGACGAAGUCUCCUUAAAAGGUAUGGAGUUCUUUUUACUUGUUUGACCAGUCGUGCAGUACAUCUGGAGAUUGCAUGUACACUUGAUACAGACUCCUGUAUAAAUGCUGUGCGGAGGUUCAUCUGUAGACGAGGCCCAGUUUCGACCAUCAGGUCUGAUAAUGCUACAAAUUUUGUUGGGGCGAAUCGAGAGUUGAAAGAAAGUUUGACUGAGCUGAACCAUGCUAAAAUUUAAAAGGCUUUUGUUCAGGAUGGAAUGAAAUGGAACUUUGACAUCCCAGCAGCCUCUCACCAAGGCGGUGUGUGGGAGCGCCUCAUUCGUUCAAUAAAGAGUAUUUUAGCCUCAGUUCUCAAAGAACAAGUUUUGGAUGAUGAAGGACUCCAAACAGUCUUCUGUGAGACUGAAGCUAUAGUGAACGACAGACCCAUUACUAGAGUUUCAGAUGACUCAAAUGAUCUUGAAGCACUGACACCCAAUCACUUGUUGUUGCUGAAAAACAAACCAGUUUUACCACCAGGACUGUUUGAUCCAACUGAUCUUCAUGUCAGGAAAAGGUGGAAACAGGUACAGUACAUGGCAGAGUGUCACGGACCCAGCUCCAGGGAUUCGGGGUUCGUGAGCAGGGUGGACUACUACUGUAGUUAUUAUUAUUAUCAUUAUUAUUAUUAUUAUUAUUAUUAUUAUUAUGGUUAUUGUCGUUAUUGUUAUUAUGGUUGUGUCUGCUGUCCUGUGCCCCGUGUUUGUGUACUGUCAGGUGUUUAUGGGUGUGUGCAUGUGUGUGAGGGUGCCGUCGUGGCAGGCACUUUUAGGCCUGGUGGGUGUGGCCCUGCCAGCUGACCGGUCACACCCAGGAAUCCACACACACCUGGCGCCGAUCAAGCCUCGUCAGAGGAGCUUCAAAACAGUGUGGCUGAGAGCUCCUCGACGCUGGAUCGUUGAGUGACUUCCCGAGGCAUUGCGGCAUCCAGGAGGCAGCACACGGACAGUACACAGGGAACGGAGACAGAGCACGGAGCACGGGAUAAGGGAGAAGACACGGAACGGGAGUCGGGAUCGCGCGGGGGAUUUAUUGUUGUUUGGAUUUUCACCCCUGUAAAUAAACGCACUGCCUUCAGCAUCAAGUCCUGCAUUUUGGGUCCUCAUUCCUCACAUCCCCACGGUCUGCCACACAGACCGUGACACAGAGUUGUUCUGGAAGAGAUGGCUUUCUGAGUACCUACCUCUGAUGCAAGAAAGACAAAAAUGGACGAGGACUAAAAGAUGUCUUAUACCUGGAGAUGUUGUUUUGAUUGCAGACGCUACAGCUCCAAGAGGAUCAUGGAUGAUGGCGAAAGUCUUAAGUGUAAACCAGGAUGCAAAAGGCUUGGUGCAUUCUGUGAGACUACAAACAAAGACCAGUGUUUUGGAAAGGCCAGUGGCAAAACUUAUUUUGCUACUGGAAGCCUCAUCGUGAAGAAAAUCAUCAACGAAGAUUAAGGACCUGCUUGAGGGAAUAGCUCCUCCUUUUGGGACUUUAAAGUAAUUUUGAUUGUAUGUACAAUUAGGGGCCGGAGUGUUGGAGCUAUUUGUUCUUUAUUUCUAUUAUUUUGAAAUUUGUUAAAGUUUGUUGUUAGUUUACUUAUAUUUUCGGGUUUAUUUACAAGUUUAUUUGUAGGUUAAUAUUUGUUUCAAUGUUUUGUUUGUUUGGUGUUUACCUUGUUAAAUCAGUCGGUAAGAGCUGUAGGGUCAUUUUGUUUCUAUAAAUAAAGAGACUGGUAAAGGACCAGCAUGCACUGGGGUGGGCCUAUGUUUUUUGUUUUUUUUACCAGAGCAGGAGAAGCAGCAGGAAGUAACAAAAAAAUGGAUCUUGUUAUUGCUUGCCAAACUGGAUGAAUAAACCAUAAAAACGC